AUACCAUGAUGAAGGCAUUUUCUUAAUAACUCUUUAAAUUGUUCUCAUGCCUCAUACAAGGACUCAUCAUCCGACUGUUGAAAUGUGGUAAUUUCAUUUCUGAGCUU
rfam:Gossypium hirsutum cultivar TM-1 chromosome 17, whole genome shotgun sequence